UACGUAGGGCGCAAGCGUUAUCCGGAAUUAUUGGGCGUAAAGAGCUCGUAGGCGGUUUGUCGCGUCUGCUGUGAAAACCGGAGGCUCAACCUCCGGCCUGCAGUGGGUACGGGCAAACUAGAGUGCGGUAGGGGAGAUUGGAAUUCCUGGUGUAGCGGUGGAAUGCGCAGAUAUCAGGAGGAACACCGAUGGCGAAGGCAGAUCUCUGGGCCGUAACUGACGCUGGAGGAGCGAAAGCGUGGGAGGCGAACG
rnacentral:rRNA from 1 species